ACGCUGGCGGCGUGCUUAACACAUGCAAGUCGAACGAAGACAUCUGAGUGCUUGCACUUGGAUGGACUGAGUGGCGGACGGGUGAGUAACGCGUGGGUAACCUGCCUUAUACAGGGGGAUAACAGUUGGAAACGACUGCUAAUACCGCAUAAGCGCACGGUAUCGCAUGAUACAGUGUAGAAAAACUCCGGUGGUAUAAGAUGGACCCGCGUCUGAUUAGCUUGUUGGUGAGGUAACGGCCCACAAGGCGACGAUCAGUAGCCGGCCUGAGAGGGUGAACGGCCACAUUGGGACUGAGACACGGCCCAGACUCCUACGGGAGGCAGCAGUGGGGAAUAUUGCACAAUGGAGGAAACUCUGAUGCAGCGACGCCGCGUGAGCGAAGAAGUUAUUUCGGUAUGUAAAGCUCUGUCAGCAGGGAAGAUAAUGACGGUACCUGACCAAGAAGCCCGGCUAACUACGUG
rnacentral:rRNA from 1 species